rnacentral:rRNA from 1 species
ACCUGGGAACUGCAUUGGAGACUGCAAGGCUAGAGUGUGUCAGAGGGGGGUAAAAUUCCACGUGUAGCAGUGAAAUGCGUAGAUAUGUGGAGGAAUACCGAUGGCGAAGGCAGCCCCCUGGGACGUGACUGACGCUCAUGCACGAAAGCGUGGGGAGCAAACAGGAUUAGAUACCCUGGUAGUCCACGCCCUAAACGAUGUCAACUAGUUGUUGGGGAUUCAUUUUCUCAGUAACGUAGCUAACGCGUGAAGUUGACCGCCUGGGGAGUACGGUCGCAAGAUUAAAACUCAAAGGAAUUGACGGGGACCCGCACAAGCGGUGGAUGAUGUGGAUUAAUUCGAUGCAACGCGAAAAACCUUACCUACCCUUGACAUGCCACUAACGAAGCAGAGAUGCAUUAGGUGCCCGAA